GGUCUUAUGGUCUAGUGGUAUGAUUCUCGCUUAGGGCGCUUACGGCGCUUACUCCCUGAGCAAAUUUGCGAGAGGCCCCGCGUUCGAAUCGCGGUAAGACCC